rnacentral:rRNA from 1 species
UACGUAGGGCGCGAGCGUUAUCCGGAAUUAUUGGGCGUAAAGAGCUCGUAGGCGGUUUGUCACGUCUGCUGUGAAAACUGGAGGCUCAACCUCCAGCCUGCAGUGGGUACGGGCAGACUAGAGUGCGGUAGGGGAGAUUGGAAUUCCUGGUGUAGCGGUGGAAUGCGCAGAUAUCAGGAGGAACACCGAUGGCGAAGGCAGAUCUCUGGGCCGUAACUGACGCUGAGGAGCGAAAGCAUGGGGAGCGAACCGG